AGUCGAACGGUGAAGGAGAGCUUGCUCUUUGGAUCAGUGGCGAACGGGUGAGUAACACGUGAGCAAUCUGCCCCUGACUCUGGGAUAACAGUUGGAAACAGCUGCUAAUACCGGAUAUGAGACGUGACCGCAUGGUCGACGUUUGGAAAGAAUUUCGGUCAGGGAUGAGCUCGCGGCCUAUCAGCUUGUUGGUGAGGUAAUGGCUCACCAAGGCGUCGACGGGUAGCCGGCCUGAGAGGGUGACCGGCCACACUGGGACUGAGACACGGCCCAGACUCCUACGGGAGGCAGCAGUGGGGAAUAUUGCACAAUGGGCGAAAGCCUGAUGCAGCAACGCCGCGUGAGGGACGACGGCCUUCGGGUUGUAAACCUCUUUUAGCAGGGAAGAAGCGAAAGUGACGGUACCUGCAGAAAAAGCGCCGGCUAACUACGUGCCAGCAGCCGCGGUAAUACGUAGGGCGCAAGCGUUAUCCGGAAUUAUUGGGCGUAAAGAGCUCGUAGGCGGUUUGUCGCGUCUGCUGUGAAAACUGGAGGCUCAACCUCCAGCCUGCAGUGGGUACGGGCAGACUAGAGUGCGGUAGGGGAGAUUGGAAUUCCUGGUGUAGCGGUGGAAUGCGCAGAUAUCAGGAGGAACACCGAUGGCGAAGGCAGAUCUCUGGGCCGUAACUGACGCUGAGGAGCGAAAGGGUGGGGAGCAAACAGGCUUAGAUACCCUGGUAGUCCACCCCGUAAACGUUGGGAACUAGUUGUGGGGUCCAUUCCACGGAUUCCGUGACGCAGCUAACGCAUUAAGUUCCCCGCCUGGGGAGUACGGCCGCAAGGCUAAAACUCAAAGGAAUUGACGGGGACCCGCACAAGCGGCGGAGCAUGCGGAUUAAUUCGAUGCAACGCGAAGAACCUUACCAAGGCUUGACAUAUACGAGAACGGGCUAGAAAUAGUCAACUCUUUGGACACUCGUAAACAGGUGGUGCAUGGUUGUCGUCAGCUCGUGUCGUGAGAUGUUGGGUUAAGUCCCGCAACGAGCGCAACCCUCGUUCUAUGUUGCCAGCACGUAAUGGUGGGAACUCAUGGGAUACUGCCGGGGUCAACUCGGAGGAAGGUGGGGAUGACGUCAAAUCAUCAUGCCCCUUAUGUCUUGGGCUUCACGCAUGCUACAAUGGCCGGUACAAAGGGCUGCAAUACCGUAAGGUGGAGCGAAUCCCAAAAAGCCGGUCCCAGUUCGGAUUGAGGUCUGCAACUCGACCUCAUGAAGUCGGAGUCGCUAGUAAUCGCAGAUCAGCAACGCUGCGGUGAAUACGUUCCCGGGUCUUGUACACACCGCCCGUCAAGUCAUGAAAGUCGGUAACACCUGAAGCCGGUGGCCCAACCCUUGUGGAGGGAGCC
rnacentral:rRNA from 1 species